UGAUCUCUCUAUCAAAAAAUCAUUAGCUGAUACACAAUAUUAAGCACACUGCAGUACAUUCAUGGAGAAGAAUAUCUUUACAAUUAAAAAACCUAAACGUCACGCAGCACUAAAAUAGUUCUUCUAGGUUCAAUAAAUAUUGCCAAACAUUGUCAACAAUUAUACUAACUUUACAUAAACCUUUGUGGAGACCUCUCCUGAUUUUGGUGUCCCUGUAUUUUAAACUUCAAUAUACAGCCUACUGGACCAUUAUAAGCUUCAACUGUUUCCUGCUAAUCAUUUUGGGUCAAAAGAGGCACUAGACUUUUGUAGGCAAUUUUAACGUGGUCAUCAUUUUUUGUCUUCGUCACCUUCUAAAUUUUUAGGAGACUGCUUGGCCAAUUCUAUAUUACAACGCUGGUCUUUGUUCUCUGCAUUUCUCUCUUUAUGGUGAUCAAGUGUAGUUUGUUCAAAAUCUUUAGGUAACCGCUCAGACAAAUCUGUAUCGGAACAUAGGUCUUCAUUUUCUGUUUUUCUUUCCUCAUGGUAAUCCUUGGGGGAGGCCGGGUCUUUCAUAUCCUUCUCCGCAUGCUGAUCCUUGACCGAGGUUAUAUCUCUCAUAUCCUUAUCCUCAUGGUGAUCAUCAAGUGUAGUUUGUUCUAACUUUUUAGGAGACUGCUCAGACAAAUCUAUAUUAGAACAUUGAUCUUCCUCAUCUGUUUUUCUCUCCUCAUGGUGAUUCUUCAGCGAAGUUGUGUCUUUCAAAUCCUUCUCCUCAUGGUGAUCCUCGAGUGAGGUUGUGUCUUUCAAAUCCUUCUCCUCAUGGUGAUCCUCGAGUGAGGUUGUGUCUUUCAAAUCCUUCUCCUCAUGGUGAUCCUCGAGUGAG
rnacentral:misc_RNA from 1 species